GGUAGGGUCCUGUCAUUAUCAAUGACCAAUUUUUCUCGAAGAGUUGUGUUUGUUUUUUUUUUUUUUUUUUUUUUUUUACAUAUAUUUAAGUUCAAGAUUCCAUCAUUUUCUAGGGAACUUUAAUCAAACACAAGAUUAUUGAAGGGUUUAGAUGUUUCCGAACUAUGUGGGCACUGCUACAAAAAAGCAAAAAGACGACGGUAAAUCACCGUCGUGUAUUCGAUUUUUCAAUGGUCGUGGAAUCCACCGUCAUCUUUUCCCUCGUAUACCACGACGCUAA
rnacentral:lncRNA from 1 species